UGAAGACGAAACGAACCGAAAGUUCGAGAAAACACACAAACUAUCGCAUACCCAAUUUGCUGAAGCGUUGAAAGACGACUCGGCACACCGAAUUUCUUGACGACCAUAGAGCAUUGGAACCACCUGAUCCCAUCCCGAACUCAGAAGUGAAACGAUGCAUCGCCGAUGGUAGUGUGGGGUUUCCCCAUGUGAGAGUAGGUCAUCGUCAAGA
rnacentral:rRNA from 1 species